GACGAACGCUGGCGGCGUGCUUAACACAUGCAAGUCGAACGGAAAGGCCCUGCGUUUGUGGGGUGCUCGAGUGGCGAACGGGUGAGUAACACGUGAGUAACCUGCCCUUGACUUUGGGAUAACUUCAGGAAACUGGGGCUAAUACCGGAUAGGAGCUCCUGCUGCAUGGGGGGGGUUGGAAAGUUUCGGCGGUUGGGGCUGGACUGGCGGCUUAUCAGCUUGUUGGUGGGGUAGUGGCUUACCAAGGCUUUGACGGGUAGCCCGCCUGAGAGGGUGACCGGCCACAUUGGGACUGAGAUACGGACCAGACUCCUACGGGAGGCAGCAGUGGAGAAUAUUGCACAAUGGGCGGAAGCCUGAUGCAGCAACGCCGCGUGCGGGAUGAUGGCCUUCGGGUUGUAAACAGCUUUCGCCUGUGACGAAGCGUGAGUGACGGUAAUGGGUAAAGAAGCACCGGCUAACUACGUG
rnacentral:rRNA from 1 species